CCUACGGGUGGCAGCAGUGAGGAAUAUUGGUCAAUGGUCGGGAGACUGAACCAGCCAAGCCGCGUGAGGGAGGAAGGUACAGAGUAUCGUAAACCUCUUUUGUCAGGGAACAAAGGCGGGGACGUGUCCCUGGACGAGGGUACCUGAAGAAAAAGCAUCGGCUAACUCCGUGCCAGCAGCCGCGGUAAUACGGAGGAUGCGAGCGUUAUCCGGAUUUAUUGGGUUUAAAGGGUGCGCAGGCGGUCUGUUAAGUCAGCGGUAAAAGCCCGGGGCUCAACCCCGGCCCGCCGUUGAAACUGGCAGUCUUGAGUUGGAGAGAGGUAUGCGGAAUGCGCGGUGUAGCGGUGAAAUGCAUAGAUAUCGCGCAGAACUCCGAUUGCGAAGGCAGCAUGCCGGCUCCAAACUGACGCUGAGGCACGAAAGCGUGGGUAUCGAACAGGAUUAGAUACCCCUGUAGUC
rnacentral:rRNA from 1 species